AAAAAAACAACUGUGCAAUGAGUUGGGAGGGGGCACAUUCAGAGUGUGGGGUUGCAGGACAAGCGGUCUUUUGUUAGAUAACAGGAGCCAGGUGCGAGAUAACGGUAUGGUGCAUGAGCGCAUGGAUGUUCUUCACAGCAACAGUUACAUCUAUCAACAGAAGCGCCAAGAGGUGGGGACCCGCCUGAGCGCCUGCAAUAGGCUGAGCAAGUUUAAACCACGCCCAGUCUCUACUGUGAUAGGCCAACAGACGGGUUGGAACUGUCUAUCACAGUAUAAAGAAUACUUUUUACAUACAUCUUGUCAUUUCCUUGUUCUGCCCUGCGUGGUAUUACAGUGAGCCCGUAUAUACGAAAGUUGCAUUUGCCAUUUAUUACUUAGCUAAUAAAAAAUACAUAGUAUACAAUCGGUGACUCAUUGUUAUAUUUAUCCUGAUACCAGAUUCGAAUUUACUCUAACAAGAGUAGGACUCGGGUUCAGGAGAGUAGGACUCGGGUUCAGGAAGGCAGGACUCGGGUUCAGGAGAGCAGGACUCUUGAUCAGGAGAGCAGGACUCUUGAUCAGGAGAGCAGGAUUCGGGUUCAGGAGAGCAGGACUCGGGUUCAGGAGAGCAGGACUCUUGAUCAGGAGAGCAGGACUCGGGUUCAGGAGAGUAGGACUCUGGUUCAGGAGAGCAGGACUCGGGUUCAGGAGAGCAGGACUCGGGUUCAGGAGAGCGAUUUGAACUAUGAGGAUUUCGACUCAGCCGACAAAGAUUGCUUUCAAGAAGGAUUGGGUCCACUUUUAGAUCUAGUGGAGGAUGCAGAGGAUUUGGAUGAUGACGUUUGGGAGCCACCCCACUCCAGUAAGCGCCCCCGAUGGUUAAGGUCUUCAUCCUCCACUGCUAUGUCAAUCACCCUGUCUGAUGGUUCUACAUCCACUUUUCAUAGACCUCUUGAAAAAUAAAAUAGGGGCUUGUGGCACCAUUCGUCCUAACAGAAUCAGAUUCCCCAAGACCCAGUUUGCUUUUUGUUUCCUGGCAGAGGGACUGCUUCAAAGACUAUCAAGACAUGCACAAGCUACGGUGAAAGGGAAAUCUAAUCAGCUACACCUGGGACGUAAAACGAACAGGAAUGCCAUUUGAAAGGCCCAUCAAGACCCAGAGUUUCUUUUUCCAAGGAGACCUGGCCAAGAAGGAAGCAACAAUCAAUACAUGGCAUAAUUCUAAAAAUACAACAAAGCUCUGGCGAAGGCCGUGUGGCCGAUAUGUAAGCU
ensembl:lncRNA